rnacentral:ncRNA from 1 species
GCUUGUGGUUUAAUUUUACUUAACAUGAGAAAACUUACCAGAUCUAAACAUAGUAUGAUUGACAGAAUAAGAACUCUUUCUUGAUUUUAUGGGUGUUGUUACAUGACCAUUUUUAGUUGGUGGAGUGACUUGUCUAAUUAAUUUUGUUAACAAUGAGAACUCAGUUUGCUUAAAAAUGUUUUUGUUGAAUAAUUGUUCUUAAAAAUGUUAUGAUUCAAGACAAAUUCAGAUUUAAUUUAGAAGUAAAUAGUAACUAAAUGUUAAACCAGAAAACAAAAGGAAUGCAUUCAGCAAAAUAAAAAUUAAUGCAAACAGAAUGGGCCUCAAAUUUUUUAGGUUACAUGAGGAC